GGGACACGUGGUAUCCUGUCUGAAUAUGGGGGGACCAUCCUCCAAGGCUAAAUACUCCUGACUGACCGAUAGUGAACCAGUACCGUGAGGGAAAGGCGAAAAGAACCCCGGCGAGGGGAGUGAAAAAGAACCUGAAACCGUGUACGUACAAGCAGUGGGAGCCUCUUAAUGGGGUGACUGCGUACCUUUUGUAUAAUGGGUCAGCGACUUAUAUUCUGUAGCAAGGUUAACCGAAUAGGGGAGCCGAAGGGAAACCGAGUCUUAACUGGGCGUUAAGUUGCAGGGUAUAGACCCGAAACCCGGUGAUCUAGCCAUGGGCAGGUUGAAGGUUGGGUAACACUAACUGGAGGACCGAACCGACUAAUGUUGAAAAAUUAGCGGAUGACUUGUGGCUGGGGGUGAAAGGCCAAUCAAACCGGGAGAUAGCUGGUUCUCCCCGAAAGCUAUUUAGGUAGCGCCUCGUGAAUUCAUCUCCGGGGGUAGAGCACUGUUUCGGCAAGGGGGUCAUCCCGACUUACCAACCCGAUGCAAACUGCGAAUACCGGAGAAUGUUAUCACGGGAGACACACGGCGGGUGCUAACGUCCGUCGUGAAGAGGGAAACAACCCAGACCGCCAGCUAAGGUCCCAAAGUCAUGGUUAAGUGGGAAACGAUGUGGGAAGGCCCAGACAGCCAGGAUGUUGGCUUAGAAGCAGCCAUCAUUUAAAGAAAGCGUAAUAGCUCACUGGUCGAGUCGGCCUGCGCGGAAGAUGUAACGGGGCUAAACCAUGCACCGAAGCUGCGGCAGCGACACUAUGUGUUGUUGGGUAGGGGAGCGUUCUGUAAGCCUGUGAAGGUGGCCUGUGAGGGUUGCUGGAGGUAUCAGAAGUGCGAAUGCUGACAUAAGUAACGAUAAAGCGGGUGAAAAGCCCGCUCGCCGGAAGACCAAGGGUUCCUGUCCAACGUUAAUCGGGGCAGGGUGAGUCGACCCCUAAGGCGAGGCCGAAAGGCGUAGUCGAUGGGAAACAGGUUAAUAUUCCUGUACUUGGUGUUACUGCGAAGGGGGGACGGAGAAGGCUAUGUUGGCCGGGCGAC
rnacentral:rRNA from 1 species